CCUACGGGGGGCAGCAGUGGGGAAUAUUGGGCAAUGGAGGAAACUCUUACCCAGCAAUGCCGCGUGAGUGAAGAAGGUCUUCGGAUUGUAAAGCUCUUUGAUUGGGGACGAAGAAAGUGACGGUACCCAAAGAACAAGCCCCGGCUAACUACGUGCCAGCAGCCGCGGUAAUACGUAGGGGGCAAGCGUUGUCCGGAAUCACUGGGCGUAAAGGGUGUGUAGGCGGUUAUACAAGUUGGAUGUGUAAUACCCAGAGCUUAACUCGGGUGCUGCAUCCAAAACUAUAUGACUUGAGUGUCGGAGAGGUAAGUGGAAUUCCUAGUGUAGCGGUGGAAUGCGUAGAUAUUAGGAGGAACAUCAGUGGCGAAGGCGACUUACUGGCCGAUAACUGACGCUGAGGCACGAAAGCGUGGGGAGCAAACAGGAUUAGAUACCCGGGUAGUC
rnacentral:rRNA from 2 species